rnacentral:rRNA from 1 species
GACGAACGCUGGCGGCGUGCCUAAUACAUGCAAGUUGAGCGCUGAAGGUUGGUACUUGUACCGACUGGAUGAGCAGCGAACGGGUGAAUAACGCGUGGGGAAUCUGCCUUUGAGCGGGGGACAACAUUUGGAAACGAAUGCUAAUACCGCAUAAAAACUUUAAACACAAGUUUUAAGUUUGAAAGAUGCAAUUGCAUCACUCAAAGAUGAUCCCGCGUUGUAUUAGCUAGUUGGUGAGGUAAAGGCUCACCAAGGCGAUGAUACAUAGCCGACCUGAGAGGGUGAUCGGCCACAUUGGGACUGAGACACGGCCCAAACUCCUACGGGAGGCAGCAGUAGGGAAUCUUCGGCAAUGGACGAAAGUCUGACCGAGCAACGCCGCGUGAGUGAAGAAGGUUGUCGGAUCGUAAAACUCUGUUGGUAGAGAAGAACGUUGGUGAGAGUGGAAAGCUCAUCAAGUGACGGUAACUACCCAGAAAGGGACGGCUAACUACGUG